rnacentral:tRNA from 21 species
GGGAUUGUAGUUCAAUUGGU